rnacentral:rRNA from 1 species
AUACGGAGGGGGCUAGCGUUGUUCGGAAUUACUGGGCGCAAAGCGCGCGUAGGCGGCUUAUCAAGUUAGGCGUGAAAGGCCUGGGCUCAACCCGGGAACUGCGCUUAAUACUGGUAGACUUGAGUCCGGGAGAGGGUGGCGGAAUUCCCAGUGUAGAGGUGAAAUUCGUAGAUAUUGGGAAGAACACCAGUGGCGAAGGCGGCCACCUGGCCCGGUACUGACGCUGAGGUGCGAAAGCGUGGGGAGCAAACAGGAUUAGAAACCCCGGUAGUCC